GCGAGUCUGCCUUGAAGAUCGGAGUGCUUGCACUCUGUGAAACAAGAUACAGGCUAGCGGCGGACGGGUGAGUAACACGCGGGUAACCUGCCCAAGAGGUCGGGAUAACACCUGGAAACAGAUGCUAAUACCGGAUAACAACAGAUGAUGCCUAUCAACUGUUUAAAAGAUGGUUCUGCUAUCACUCUUGGAUGGACCUGCGGUGCAUUAGCUAGUUGGUAGGGUAACGGCCUACCAAGGCGAUGAUGCAUAGCCGAGUUGAGAGACUGAUCGGCCACAUUGGGACUGAGACACGGCCCAAACUCCUACGGGAGGCAGCAGUAGGGAAUCUUCCACAAUGGACGCAAGUCUGAUGGAGCAACGCCGCGUGAGUGAAGAAGGGUUUCGGCUCGUAAAGCUCUGUUGUUGGUGAAGAAGGACAGGGGUAGUAACUGACCUUUGUUUGACGGUAAUCAAUUAGAAAGUCACGGCUAACUACGUGCCAGCAGCCGCGGUAAUACGUAGGUGGCAAGCGUUGUCCGGAUUUAUUGGGCGUAAAGCGAGUGCAGGCGGCUCGAUAAGUCUGAUGUGAAAGCCUUCGGCUCAACCGGAGAAUUGCACCAGAAACUGUCGAGCUUGAGUACAGAAGAGGAGAGUGGAACUCCAUGUGUAGCGGUGAAAUGC
rnacentral:rRNA from 1 species